rnacentral:rRNA from 1 species
GCGGUUUAAUCGGACUCAACGCCGGGAAACUCACCAGAUAAGACAGCUGAAUGAUAGUCGGGCUGAAGACUCUACUUGACUAGCUGAGAGGAGGUGCAUGGCCGUCGUCAGUUCGUACUGUGAAGCAUCCUGUUAAGUCAGGCAACGAGCGAGACCCACGCCAACAGUUGCCAGCUCGUCCUCCGGGAUGGUGGGGACACUGUUGGGACCGCCUCUGCUAAAGAGGAGGAAGGAAUGGGCAACGGUAGGUCAGCAUGCCCCGAAUUAUCUGGGCUACACGCGGGCUACAAUGGGUGGGACAAUGGGUAUCGACACCGAAAGGUGAAGGCAAUCUCCUAAACCCAUCCGUAGUUCGGAUUGUGGGCUGCAACUCGCCCACAUGAAGCUGGAAUCUGUAGUAAUCGUGUCUCAAAAUGGCACGGUGAAUAUGUCCCUGCUCCUU